GAUGAAGAACGUAGCGAACUGCGAUAAGUAAUGUGAAUUGCAGAAUUCAGUGAAUCAUCGAGUCUUUGAACGCACAUUGCGCCCCCUAGCAUUCCGGGGGGCAUGCCUGUCCGAGCGUCAUUGCUGCCCUUCAAGCCCGGCUUGUGUGUUGGGUCGUCGUCCCCCCCGGGGGACGGGCCCGAAAGGCAGCGGCGGCACCGCGUCCGGUCCUCGAGCGUAUGGGGCUUUGUCACCCGCUCGAUUAGGGCCGGCCGGGCGCCAGCCGGCGUCUCCAACCUUCUAUUUUACCAGGUUGACCUCGGAUCAGGUAGGGAUACCCGCUGAACUUAAGCAUAUCAAUAAGCGGAGGA
rnacentral:misc_RNA from 1 species